UAUAUUUUGUUAAGGAUGCUGAGAGUUGUUAGGUGACCCCCUCACAGACCUACCAGUCCCAGCUGUGGGGGUUUCCUAAACACUCUCAGAACCCUGUUUAAAUUGGUAUGAUACUGCUUUAAAAGUAUAGUGCAUAUGAGAUCAAGGAAGGACCAACAAAAAGGCCGUCUUUCAGCCACCCACUAUUGUGGCCACCCUUCAGAUUGAGGAGCUACUGUAUACAGAGAAGAGCCUUCACAGGUGAUCUGAAGGUAUUAGUAGGUACAUCUGGGAAGAGGUGAUCCAUUAGAUGUAAGGUCAUGUAGGGCUUUCUAGGUGAAAACCAACACCUUAAAUAGGGAUCUGAAACUAUUCAUCAGCCAGCAUGGGCAAUAAAAGACUGGCACCUGUCCUAAACAGCUUGGGCCCAAUACUGUUAGCAGAUGACCUCACCUUUUGUAGUCUAGUGCACUUGCCAAGAGCAACCAAAGGCUGCUACCUUAUUCUGUGUAGCGUGAUCAAAUGAUGAAGCUUCACAUACAAGGCCCUCUCAGAAGAUGCUUCCCAGCUGUGGAAUUCCUUUUCUCACGGAGGAUAACUUUCUAGAAGCACUUCAAGUUGUUUUUGUCUGGCUUGGCUUUUGGCUUUCACUGAUAAGCCAUUAUGGAACCAUUUUUCUCCAUUGUUACGACCAUCAUUUUGUACUUUGGUAUUUUGCAUCUUUUGCUAGCUGCCCUUCAGAAAGAAAGGCAGGAUAAAGAUGUCAAAAAUAAGUGGAUUAGAUGUAUACAAUUUUAAUGACAUUUAUUAAAUAUUUUAUUGUUAUGUUUGAUUAACAGCACUGCUAUUUUCCUAGACCUCUGAGGAGAGACACAAUACACAUCAAGAUAAAACAACUCAAAGCCUGUGGUGUUACGAAAAGUGCCUAUGAAAGGAACAUACAGUCUCCAACUUUACAUGGUCAUUUUAAGAGGCUGCUUCUAAUUGGAACAUUAAAACAUUUGCCUGAUGUAGAAAGGAAAGAGAAAUCCUGUCCUCACCAGUGAGUUUCUGCUCAUCCACUCUAAAAAAGAAUCUUUGGGUGACUCUCUGCUUUGAAUGAUGUAAGAAAUAAGAGAUAAAAGCAGCAAUAAAAAUAAAAUGUAAAGUCAUACAGCACCUAGAACAGCAACAGAAAGAUCAGCAUGAAUGAAUCUUUCUUUAUUCAAUCUCAUCCCAAUUGGGAAAGCCAUCAUUACUUUGACAACCCUCGGGUGUUUGUCACCAAGAUAGCAGAGUACAAAUGUUUCCCUCAUCUCAUUGCACACUUUGCACAGAUCAGCUCUUCUGGGAAGCAAAAGCAAAUAUUAACCCUUCGGAUAUUAGCCUAGGGUGAUUAUGGUAAUUUUGAGCCAGUGGCAAUAAGCAAACAGACUGAUGUUUAGAGUAAGACAUGCCUCCAGGCUCUAACCAAGGCCUGCUCCUGUUAGCCUCACUGGUCAAAUAUCU